rnacentral:rRNA from 1 species
UACGUAGGCAGCAAGCGUUGUUCGGAAUUACUGGGCGUAAAGAGUGUGUAGGCGGUGCUCUAAGUUCGGUGUGAAAUCUCCCCGGCUCAACUGGGAGGGUGCGCCGAAAACUGGGGUGCUGGAGCGCGGGAGAGGAAAGCGGAAUUCCUGGUGUAGCGGUGAAAUGCGUAGAUAUCAGGAGGAACACCGGCGGUGUAGACGGCUUUCUGGACCGUAGCUGACGCUGAGACACGAAAGCGUGGGUAGCAAACAGG